rnacentral:rRNA from 1 species
CUCAUUAAAUCAGUUAUAGUUUAUUUGAUGGUCUCUUUUGUCUUUUUUUACCUACUUGGAUAACCGUGGUAAUUCUAGAGCUAAUACAUGCGCAAGGUCCCGAGCGCGGGGGGCAGGGGCUUCACGGCCCUGUCCUCGCAUGCGCAGAGGGAUGUAUUUAUUAGGUUAAAACCAGCGGUAGGCCAGCAAUGGUCUAUCACAACACUCCUGGUGAUUCAUAGUAACUCUUUCGGAUCGCAUUCAUG